rnacentral:rRNA from 1 species
AGAGUUUGAUCCUGGCUCAGGAUGAACGCUGGCGGCGUGCCUAAUACAUGCAAGUCGAGCGAACAGACAAGGAGCUUGCUCCUUUGACGUUAGCGGCGGACGGGUGAGUAACACGUGGGUAACCUACCUAUAAGACUGGGAUAACUUCGGGAAACCGGAGCUAAUACCGGAUAAUAUUUCGAACCGCAUGGUUCGAUAGUGAAAGAUGGUUUUGCUAUCACUUAUAGAUGGACCCGCGCCGUAUUAGCUAGUUGGUAAGGUAACGGCUUACCAAGGCGACGAUACGUAGCCGACCUGAGAGGGUGAUCGGCCACACUGGAACUGAGACACGGUCCAGACUCCUACGGGAGGCAGCAGUAGGGAAUCUUCCGCAAUGGGCGAAAGCCUGACGGAGCAACGCCGCGUGAGUGAUGAAGGUCUUCGGAUCGUAAAACUCUGUUAUUAGGGAAGAACAUACGUGUAAGUAACUAUGCACGUCUUGACGGUACCUAAUCAGAAAGCCACGGCUAACUACGUGCCAGCAGCCGCGGUAAUACGUAGGUGGCAAGCGUUAUCCGGAAUUAUUGGGCGUAAAGCGCGCGUAGGCGGUUUUUUAAGUCUGAUGUGAAAGCCCACGGCUCAACCGUGGAGGGUCAUUGGAAACUGGAAAACUUGAGUGCAGAAGAGGAAAGUGGAAUUCCAUGUGUAGCGGUGAAAUGCGCAGAGAUAUGGAGGAACACCAGUGGCGAAGGCGACUUUCUGGUCUGUAACUGACGCUGAUGUGCGAAAGCGUGGGGAUCAAACAGGAUUAGAUACCCUGGUAGUCCACGCCGUAAACGAUGAGUGCUAAGUGUUAGGGGGUUUCCGCCCCUUAGUGCUGCAGCUAACGCAUUAAGCACUCCGCCUGGGGAGUACGACCGCAAGGUUGAAACUCAAAGGAAUUGACGGGGACCCGCACAAGCGGUGGAGCAUGUGGUUUAAUUCGAAGCAACGCGAAGAACCUUACCAAAUCUUGACAUCCUUUGACAACUCUAGAGAUAGAGCCUUCCCCUUCGGGGGACAAAGUGACAGGUGGUGCAUGGUUGUCGUCAGCUCGUGUCGUGAGAUGUUGGGUUAAGUCCCGCAACGAGCGCAACCCUUAAGCUUAGUUGCCAUCAUUAAGUUGGGCACUCUAAGUUGACUGCCGGUGACAAACCGGAGGAAGGUGGGGAUGACGUCAAAUCAUCAUGCCCCUUAUGAUUUGGGCUACACACGUGCUACAAUGGACAAUACAAAGGGCAGCGAAACCGCGAGGUCAAGCAAAUCCCAUAAAGUUGUUCUCAGUUCGGAUUGUAGUCUGCAACUCGACUACAUGAAGCUGGAAUCGCUAGUAAUCGUAGAUCAGCAUGCUACGGUGAAUACGUUCCCGGGUCUUGUACACACCGCCCGUCACACCACGAGAGUUUGUAACACCCGAAGCCGGUGGAGUAACCAUUUGGAGCUAGCCGUCGAAGGUGGGACAAAUGAUUGGGGUGAAGUCGUAACAAGGUAGCC